AAGAAGGUGACGUUGUAAGUGAGCGACGGCUUCUCGGCAGUGGCUCCAGAGGAAGCUCGGCGGCUGUGGCCGUUGUAAGCAGGCCGGACGUCUGCUGGCUGACGGGCUUUCCCCUAAAGCUGGCGAAGGCGGGGCCGCAGUCCGAACUGCCGCAGUAUCUGGACCCACGGCGGGGCAGGUGCCGGCAGCGAGGGACGUAGCUGCAUUCAGAUCUCAUUAUGCAUCAGAAAAAUGAAAAAACAGAGGAAAAUUCUAUGGAGGAAAGGAAUCCACUUAGCUUUUUCUGAGAAAUGGAAUACUGGGUUUGGAGGCUUUAAGAAGUUCUACUUUCACCAACAGUUGUGCAUUCUGAAAGCCAAGUUGGGAAGGCCAGUUACUUGGAGCAGGCAUUUAAGGCAUUUCCAGUGCAGAAAGAAGGCCCUUCAAUUCCAGAAAACGUGGAUCCAGGAUGAACCCCUUUUUGCUAAGGCAAAGUCCAAUGUGGCUGUUCAGAAUCUUAGUACUUUUUCCUCUAAAGUGAAAGGAAAGGACACUAAACACUUCAUUUCCUCCUCAAGGACCUUCCUGAAACUCCAAGCAGAGAAGUUGCUAUCAUCAGCAAAGAACUCUGAUCAUGAAUACUCUGGAGAGAAAAGUCUCUUGAAGGCAGCCACUGACAUACCAGCAAAUAGUGUUUUAAGUCAGGCCAGUGGUCACAGACCUAGGACGGAGCCACAAGCUUCUGAUCCUCCUAUGAAGUUCAAUGGGGAGAGCCAGAGUCCAGGUGAGAGUGGCACAAUUGUGGUCACCUUGAGCAACCAUAAGAGAAAGUGCUUUUGUUAUGGCUGCUGCCGAGGGCUGGAGCACCACAGGAAUGGGGGACCCCUGAUUCCAAGAAAGUUCCAACUUAAUCAACAUAGAAGAAUAAAAGUAUCUCCUCAUAUGAUGUAUGAGAAAUUAUCCAUGAUUAGAUUUCGGUACAGGAUUCUCAGAUCCCAGCACUUCAGAACAAAAAGCAAAGUUUGCAAGCUAAAAAAAGCCCAGCGAAGCUGGGUGCAGGUCACUGGGGACCAUCAAGAGACCCUUAGGGAGAACAGUGAGGGUGGCAGUUGCAGCUUAUUCCCUUCCCCAGAACCUAAAGACCCUUCUUGUCGGCAUCAACCAUACCUUCCAGAUAUGGACAGCAAUGCUGUGGUGAAGGGAAAGAACUCUCAUGUGCCUGAUGGCCACACUAAAGGAAGCCCUCUCUUGGGCAAGGAGCUUAGUUUAGAUGAAGCAUUCCCUGACCAACAGAAUGGCAGUGCCACAUACAUCUGGGACCAGUCACCCUGUUCCUCUCCUAAGUGGGAGUGUACAGAGCUGAUUCAUGACAUCCCCUUACCAGAACAUCAUUCUAAUAACAUGUUUAUCUCGGAAACCGAGGGAGAAGUUAUGGCUCUGGGUCAGGAAAAUCGGACAAGUACUGUCAAUGAUGACAGAGUAAAACUGUCAGUGUCUGGGGCAGAUCAAUCUGUGAGUAGUGUAGAUGGGCCUGUGUCCGAAGAGACUGUUCAGAAUGAGAGUUCAUGCCAGAUGGAUGAGGAUGGAUCUUUCAAGCAGAACAUUCUUAGUUCUAAGUUGCUGGACCACCCUUACUGUAAAAGUCCACUGGAGGCUCCUCUGACGUGCAGUGGACUCAAACUAGAAAAUCAAGUGGGAGGUGGGAAGAACAGUCAAAAAGCCUCUCCAGUGGAUGAUGAACAGCUGUCAAUCUGCCUUUCUGGAUUCCUAGAUGAGGUUAUGAAGAAGUAUGGCAGUUUGGUCCCACUCAGUGAAAAAGAUGUCCUUGGAAGAUUAAAAGAUGUCUUUAAUGAAGACUUUUCUAAUAGAAAACCUUUUAUCAAUAGGGAGAUAACAAACUAUCGGGCCAGACAUCAAAAAUGCAACUUCCGCAUCUUCUACAAUAAGCACAUGCUGGAUAUGGAUGAUCUGGCAACCCUGGAUGGUCAGAAUUGGCUGAAUGACCAGGUCAUUAAUAUGUACGGUGAGCUGAUAAUGGAUGCAGUCCCAGACAAAGUUCACUUCUUCAACAGCUUUUUUCAUAGACAGCUGGUAACCAAAGGAUAUAAUGGAGUAAAAAGAUGGACUAAAAAGGUGGAUUUGUUUAAAAAGAGUCUUCUGUUGAUUCCUAUUCACCUGGAAGUCCACUGGUCUCUCAUUACUGUGACACUCUCUAAUCGAAUUAUUUCAUUUUAUGAUUCCCAAGGCAUUCAUUUUAAGUUUUGUGUAGAGUAUUUAUUUAAGUUUCAAAUUCAGCAAGUUGACUUACUCCUGGAAAAGGCUGACCAUCUCAUAAAAAGAUCUAAUUAAAGCAUAUACCAGUGUCCACAGUCUAAGUGCAUACAGUACAGAAGGUCUGAGUCCUUCACUCUAUAAAUUGAAAAAGGUCUGAAAUCAAGUUCCAGCUUUAAACUCUUUAAUGCAUACUCUGCCCAGUGGUGGGGCCACAGCCUCCUCCUUUGCUUCUGUCUGCUGCGGGCAGGUUCCAUUUUUCACCAACUGAUGGAACACAGCAUCUGUGUUGUGGUUUCUUUUUAACCAGAAUAUAAGAAAGUAUUUGCUGACUGAAGCCAGAGAAAAAAAUAGACCUGAAUUUCUUCAGGGUUGGCAGACUGCUGUUACCAAGGUAAGUAAGUGAUAAAAAUGAAAACCCAGGCAUGUCAAGGGGCUGGAAUUGUCUAAGGGGUGGGUGUCUUUAAAAGCACAUGAAGACUGAUCAUGAAGAUACCAAUAGAGAGCCUAGAGGCUGCAGGGAGGCAGCUCAGAGUAAACCUCAGUUCAGUAUUCAUCACCUGGCUGCCCAAUUUCCCACUGCCUGCUGGGGCAAAUAAAUUCAGUCAUUUCAUCCUGGGGGCAGCUGCUGCUGAUAUAGUUGCUCUGUUGAAAAAAAGGAAAAAAAAAUUUUUUUGGUGGCACCUGCCUCUUGCCUCAUGGCUCUUAUUUCCAGAUGACUCAUGUAGACCCAGAGAAAUACUGACAUGACUAUUUGCAUUCACUAAGGGAGCAAGUGUACUGGGCUGCUUUCCAGGCAUUUGGGGAAGACAAGUGGCCUGAGUGCUUCAGUCUGAACAGUCUAGAAGCAGCACUGUGUUUGGCCAUAGACAUAAAAGCUGUAUGCGGGGCAGAGUGAGCAGGCCUAGCCUUUUAACCCUGUCACAAAUAUCAGUGUCUUCUGUUUUAUGGGCACUGCUUUGUUUUCAUAGUGUUUUUCUAUGUAUGAUCUCAUUUGAUCCUUACAGUCUGUGAGGUAGGCAGGUCAUUUAGGGAUAAGAAGCUCUUUAUUGUAGAUGAGAAAGCUGAAUCCUAGGUGUGAGCUUCCCCAAAGGCCAUCAAAACUAUUGACAGAGUGAAGUCUUUGAACUCAGGUCUAUCCGGAUCAAAGACACUGUUAAAAAGGCAGGGUCUUGAAAUAAACCUUUAACCCAAACCCAAAGGGACAAGGCUUAUUUGUUUAUCCUUGAACUGUACUAUAUGCUAACUUCUAAACUUAUGUUUUGUAUUUUAAAUAACCUAGUAUAUUAGUUCAAACCAGAACUGAACUUGUGAAUAUUCUGAAUUUACCCAGUAGUAUAUGCAGGUAUUCUAAAUUUAAUCAGGAUCUUUCAUAUUCCAACACUUUAGGCAGAGUACAGUAACCAGUUCUUUGGAAAACAUACUGCUUACCUUUACCAUGUCUUUAAAAGAAUAGGACAGAGUUGUGAAAUAUGAGAUGAAAAGGGAAGACUACCAAGCAGCAUUGUUACUACGUAUUCAGAGUCCAGGCCAUGCACUGCGUUCUCUGAUCCACAAUUCCAUUUUGAUUCCAUUGUCAGUGAAUUGAUAGCAAAACUAAUUAUCCAAAUGGAAGUUUUAAAAUAGGAUUUUAUUUGAUUUCCCGCUUCUCAUAUUUAGGCAAAAUGUUCUAAGUUGUGGUUGAUUGAUAGCUCUUUUCAUGGCCAGAUGCCUCCAUAAACUCAAACACUUUGAAUACCAGAGGUACACACCAGCUGUCUUGGAUACAGACAAGUUUCCUGUCUCGCUCAUUUUUCCAUAAAAACAGCUUUUCUUAUCUGAAGAGGAAUACUUGGUUUUAAUGAUCGUUUUGUUUUUCCCCGUAGUGUAUUCCACAACAGAAAAAUGACAGUGACUGUGGAGUAUUUGUGCUCCAGACCCUAUUCUUUUAGGUCUGCAUCUAGUAAAAUACAUUAGGCUGGUACAUAACUCCACGUGCCACUUAAGUGUUUCUGGGACCUUUGCAGUACUGCAAGUGCCUCGCCUUAGAGCAGCCUUUCCAGUUUUCCCAAGAAGACAUGCCCCGAGUGCGGAAGAGGAUUUACAAGGAGCUGUGUGAGUGCCGGCUCAUGGACUGAAACUCAGCAGGGACUCUGGGAAGUCUGACCAAGUUGGAGCAGAUGGUUUGUUACUUGAAUCUCCAAACACUUAUUUGAAUUUUUACAGAUAUUUCAGAUCAGUGGUGUUGGACCACUGUUGUUACCUCAAAUUUAUUUUCUGCCCUUACUCAUUUCCCUAGUUACUAUGUACUAUUUUUUAAUGUUCAGUUUGGUUUCAUUUUUAAUUUUAUGGAUUCUGUGUGUGUGUGUCCCCCCAUAUUUAAUAUUUAUUAUCCAAACGCAUGCAUAUAGACAGAGCAUGCAGUGCAGAGUAUUAAAAAAAAAAAAAAAGCCUAGUAGAUUUGGUGCAGCUUUUGAAACUUAGUUAGAUGUGAAUACAGGUUUAAAUUUUAAUUCCAGAACCUAUAAAAAUGCAGGAUGUUUUUGAUACAACGUAACUCUGAGAAUAGUAGAUGUUCCCUGGGGCAUAAAGGGUAGCUAGAAGGGGUUUCAGACAAAGCCAGUCCUGUUUUAUUUUUACCAGCAGCACCUUACACUGACUUCCCUCUCCAAGUGAGUCACAUUCCUUUUGAAGGGUGAAAAGGAAGUGGCCAUAAACUGACUGGUAUGUUCUAUUUAUGGAGGCACACUUGUAAGCACAGUGCCUGCUUUGGGAAGAGUUGAUUAAGGUAUGAGAAAAAGACAGCGACCUUGAGGGUCCAUUUAUCUUCACACAUGAGAGAUUUCAAUCUUGGUUUUAAGAAGCAUUUAUAAUAAAUGCUUUAAUCUUACAAAGGCUUUUGCUGGAACACUGAUUCCCUGGAUUUUUCUGGUUUUGACCCAUUAAAAAAUUAGUAUCUGUCAAAACUAGUGGUCAAACAAAUGAGAAUUCAGCCUUUCUACAGCAAUUGUUUCCCAUAUGGAAGAAAUUCAGAUUUGCCAAAUACCUUUCUAUUUCAAGGGUAUUUAAAAUAUAAACAUUCAAAACCGAAGACUGACUUCAGGUAUUUUGCACGUGGGUGGAGAGGAGAGAACAGGAAAGGUAUUAAGGGAGACAUGAAACUGUGGGAGUACAGCAAAUGUUAUGAGUUUUUUCCCUCUUAUUUCUCUAGUGAUCUCAACAGCAUGCAGGGCUCAUCUGCCUCUGCUUGACCAACCCUGAGACUCUAGCACAGGAGUCCUUUUUUUUGCUUCCAUGAACCUCAUCUUCUGGGGGAAGGCAGAAGUGGCCCUGUCCUGAUUUAUUACCCUUGGCUGCAUUAGGAUUAAAGUAAUGGAUCUUGCAUCUUUAAUCUAACAAAGUUUUGUGAUAUUGGAAAGGAAAGGAAAUAGGGAAAGAUGCAUGUUAAACUACAUCUUUUCUGAACUGGGGGAGGAAAAACAACAAACGUGUAUACAAGAAAUUCAGAAGCUUGUACAGAAAAAUACCAAGUAAAUGGCAGAAGAUGCUUUGGUUUAUGCCUCGUUAGGUGUGAGGUGUUGAAAAUAAAAAGCUAAAAUGUGCAGUUUAACUUGGCCAUAAGGUAGGGCUGACUGCCAGCAGUUGAGGGUGGAGUCAGAACAUGUUUACAUGCAGGGUUCCCAUCCCCAGAUCCAAGCACCAACACCAAUGUUUACAUUGUAAACAGCCCCAGCACUUUCCUAGUCACUCAAACUCCUUAGUAUAAUAUAAAACCAGGUCAGUAUUUCUUAUUGUGCUUCAAGUCAUUAAAAAGACUGCUAUUAGAGGCACUUUGUGCUGCUACAGGUAGGGUUGUAUCAGCAUUAGGAAAGGUGACAAAAUGGGUUGGGUGUCUUCUUGAGGUUUUCAGGCAUAAUUAUACAAACAUGAGAUUUUUCAAACCUGUAUGUGAGACAUUUGCCUUUUUUUUUUUUU